rnacentral:rRNA from 1 species
UACGUAGGGGGCAAGCGUUAUCCGGAUUCACUGGGUGUAAAGGGGGCGUAGACGGCCAUGCAAGCCUGGAGUGAAAGCCCGGGGCCCAACCCCGGGACUGCUCUGGGAACUGUGCGGCUGGAGUGCGGGAGGGGCAGGCGGAAUUCCUGGUGUAGCGGUGAAAUGCGUAGAUAUCAGGAGGAACACCGGCGGCGAAGGCGGCCUGCUGGACCGCGACUGACGUUGAGGCUCGAAAGCGUGGGGAGCAAACAGG